UGCCCGUUAGUGGAGCGAUUAACACGUCACACUCUCAAUGUGAAGAUCACGGGUUUAAAUCCCGUACGGGUAACCA
rnacentral:tRNA from 1 species